rnacentral:lncRNA from 1 species
CCGCGAUGGUGAGCCCCCGACACGGACCCACAGACACGAGCUUGUGUGCGGCGAAGGCCCCGCAAGGUCGGUUCUACGGGUGGGUGCCAGGACCCAGGAGUCCGGGCUUCAAAGGGAGAAAGAUGCCGGAGCCUGAACGCUUGGGUUCUAGAGGAACAGAGGGUUGGGGGCCGCGCUCCUUGGGAAGAGGGGCUGAGGUUCUGAACUCUGGGGUUUUGAAGGAGUUAGGGGCUGGAGUGUGGAUUCCCUGGUCUGAGAGAACAGACUGGGGGCUCAGACUCCUGGAUCCUGGAAAAAAGGGGGCUGGGGGCUCGGAUUUUGGAAUGGGUGGGGGACUGGGUGGUGUACUCCCAGAUCUGAGGGAGGAGGGGUCUGGGACCUGGAAUCCCGAGUCCCCGAGGGAGCAUGGAUGCUGGGCCUCUCCUCCUCCAGACAUCUCCUGCCCCCGCCGCUGACCCUGGCCUGUCUGGCAGCCCAGACAACCUCCCCCUCCUCCUCGGCCCCCUCCCACUGGCACGGCUCACA